GGCCGCGGGAAUCCCUUUAAGGCCUACACAUGCAAGUCGAGCGGAAGAGAGACCCUUGAUUCUCUUGAGAGCGGCGGACGGGUGAGUAAUGCCUAGGAAUCUGCCUGGUAGUGGGGGAUAACGUUCCGAAACGGACGCUAAUACCGCAUACGUCCUACGGGAGAAAGCAGGGGACCUUCGGGCCUUGCGCUAUCAGAUGAGCCUAGGUCGGAUUAGCUAGUUGGUGAGGUAAUGGCUCACCAAGGCUACGAUCCGUAACUGGUCUGAGAGGAUGAUCAGUCACACUGGAACUGAGACACGGUCCAGACUCCUACGGGAGGCAGCAGUGGGGAAUAUUGGACAAUGGGCGAAAGCCUGAUCCAGCCAUGCCGCGUGUGUGAAGAAGGUCUUCGGAUUGUAAAGCACUUUAAGUUGGGAGGAAGGGCAUUAACCUAAUACGUUAGUGUUUUGACGUUACCGACAGAAUAAGCACCGGCUAACUCUGUGCCAGCAGCCGCGGUAAUACAGAGGGUGCAAGCGUUAAUCGGAAUUACUGGGCGUAAAGCGCGCGUAGGUGGUUUGUUAAGUUGGAUGUGAAAUCCCCGGGCUCAACCUGGGAACUGCAUUCAAAACUGACUGACUAGAGUAUGGUAGAGGGGUGGUGGAAUUUCCUGUGUAGCGGUGAAAUGCGUAGAUAUAGGAAGGAACACCAGUGGCGAAGGCGACCACCCUGGACUAAUACUGACACUGAGGUG
rnacentral:rRNA from 1 species